rnacentral:rRNA from 1 species
UACUACAGCCAUGCCACCCUGAACAAGCCCGAUCCCGUCUGAUCUCGGAAGCUAAGCACCGUCGGUCUAGUUAGUACUUGGAUGGAAGACUACCUAGGAAGACCAGGUGCUGUAGGCA